UACAGAACGUCAGAGCGGAUCCAGCUCUUUGAGCUAUCUUUGUUCGAGUCAAACUGGGAAUCGUUCCCCUGCGGCAUUCUUCGCUAGACGAACUGCAUAUGAGCCCUAAUUAAAGGACAUUACCUGGCACAGCAUUUUCCCCUGCGACAGCUGCCCCUGAAAGAGAUUACUCGUGUUUAAGAGUCUGGCUGAGCUGUAAAAUAAUAUACAGGAAAUGUCUGAUUCCUGUCAACUUUACAAAUGAUGGGAAUAAACUGACAACACAUCCGUUGAGUUCUUCAGCUGUUUGAAGUUGCAUCCAGAUGAGAAAUUGCUUAGGGGGAACCAGCAAAGAACGAAGGUGAAAACAAACCUUAAUUGGCAUGCUCCCUUAAACAAACGUAGCCUAGGACAGAGUUUCCAACUAUUUUAAGAACGAUGGUCCAGUUUGGAAGUGCAGUUUAAGGCAUCAGCAAGAAAGGAGAUUUCCUGCUCAUGAACGAAUAGUUAAUGAAGAACUGAAGACAAUGAAGCAUUUUGUUCCUGUUGUUGGUAACUCAUAAAACCCUUGCGAGCAUCAUGUUAUAUGUUCAUGACCUGGACUUUCCACAUACGUUACUGGGCUCCACUAGGCACAGAGCAAAGUGCAUUUCAAGUGUUCUGUAUUACAGUAUAUUUGGAAUAGAUUCAUUUUACACUUAUCACUUAUGGUAGAAUGUUUGAGAGCUGAUGCAACUUUUGAUGGAUGGAUACUUUAAAAAUUGCCUACUAGCUGCCAUGGUAAAAAUUCACAUAACAUUUAAAAAUGUAUAAUUUGUGGGGACAUCCUCACGUAAAUAUUAGUAUCAACACAAUUGGGUGUUUUUGGUAGAAGUAUUUAUUUAAAAAAAAAUUAAAUACCAUCUUAAUUACAAAUUUAUAACUAGGAAGGGCAGGAAUAAAAGAGCAAGUGAUACAAGAAAACUGCAAUGAGGAAUAAUUAAACAGCUCAAAAUUGAAAAUAUUUAGACUGCAAUCCUAUUCUUGUCUACGCAUGAGUAAGACUCCUGGAAUUCCACUGGAUGAAAUUCCAGAUUAGUGUGUAAUUUGGAUUGCAGACUGAGAUGUUCUAAAUGCCUCAGUGAAUUAAAAAUAAAUAAAAUUUAUGGUACUUUCCCUUUCUCACAGUUGUUAUGUACAUGUGUCUAUAUUGCUUAUAAAUAAAUAGAUAACCUGAUCUCCAUUUUCAUCUUCCCAAUGCUGGAUAACACAUGACAGUUCACGAGAGCAAUAAUUAGCACACAGUUUUUGCAAUAGAUUCACCUCAAUUUGUUUGCUUUUCAGAUUUUAUUGUAACUGUUUAAAAAAAUCGAGACUGCAGAAGGAUAAUAAGAUUCAUAACUUUAUAAGUUAGAAACAGUUAUAAAACAUAAGUUUUGUGGAUGUACAUGAGCAUAAGAUUUAAUGUCCUAAUUUAUAAUUUCUUGAGAAAAUUUAUAAAUUUAGUAAAAAUUAAAUAAAGUCAAUAUAAUUCAUGAUGAAUUUAAAUAAACACUAACAACAUGUUCUUGACACAAACUCCACUUCAGAAUAGGAACAAAGUAAUGUAGUUUACUUCUUUUUCAAAUUUUAGUAUUGUUUCUAUAUGCAUCUGAAUGCAUAAAGAAACUUCAGGCAUAUUAUUUCAUAGGUAUUAGCAAAUGUUAUUAAUGUACAAUAAAAGCCAGGCUUAUAAAAUCAUAUGUGGUUGUAUAGGAAUUGCUAUUAGUCAGCCUAUGCCUAUUCAGACUGAUAACCAUACAUUUUCACAUAAAUAUAAUUUUGGGGUUUGGCUAAACCUUUUCUUUUUAUUUUUUUUAUCUUGGACUAGAAUUAAAUAGAGCAGACUUCUCAAAGAAGGAAGAAUAAGAGAAUGGUCCCCAGAAAGAUUCAAUGCUUCUUUACUCAGAAGAAAAAAAUUGGGCACCAUUUGAGUUCAAACUAGUUCAAAUUAGUGGCUAUGGUUUAUAUUCUUCCUUUGUCCUCUGCUAAUUGUGCAACUUAAUAGAUAAAAAAAUUAGACAGUGGCCCAAAUCUCUUCUGCAGCUCUUUGAAAUACCCUCACUUCUCCCAAGAGUUAAGACAACUCAAAAUAAUGUAAGUUAAACUGUAUGGGAUUGCAUGGAGGGAGCUGUAGGCAGGGACAAAUACUUCAAAUCAGGUGGUAAGAUGUUACUCCAUGUAAUUGCCAUUAAAAGUCCUGUUUGAUAAAGAUCCCCUCCAGCAAUAAAGUCAAAAUAGUCAAGAUAGUACAGAGACACAAAGGAUAAAAAAUUAAACGGACAUAUUAUCAGACAAAGUUUGAUAAAAAUAUGGAACACUGCAAAGAGAAGAGUAAGUCCAGUGGUUUUACUCCUAUGUUCUCCCUCAAAUGCUUUUCACGUUGGAAAUAAUUACAAGAAAAAAGUAACUACUUAUCCAGAUAUGGUUACCUCGAAUUCUAUGAACAAAUUAAAAAGACAGCAAGAUCUACUUAGGCGCAAGUUGGAAUACGCCAUGGUUAUUUACAAAUAACCAGAAAGAUAAAUCAGAGAUCAAGAAAGAUGGAGGAACAUCCAGAAUAAAAUAAAAAUAGAAUUUGAAACACUCAGAUAAAAUCAACACCAUCUAUUAGGGCACAUGUACAGACUUUUAGAUUUAAUACACAGAUAGAACAAACAAAAAAUGUAUAUGACAAAAUGGAUGUAAAAUUGUAAAGAAACAGUUGUAAUAAAUAUGUCAAUGAGAAAAAAAAUAUGGGCUAAAUCUAUAAAGUUUACACCAAGUGAUAACUUAAAGGAAAAUUGGUCCAAAAUAUUUUAUAGAUGUUAUAUAACUCCAUUUAUUAUAUAAGAUAGACAAAUCACAUAGUAAUAAUUGUUGAAAAUGCCAUAAAACAGAGCAACAUUUUACUAUAUGAAAUGGACAUGUAAAAGAACUCAAAAAUAGUUGGAAAAAUAUAAUACAGAAAAUCUUGAAUUUAAAUUUGAAAUGAAACCACAACUUUUCCUACUAGGUUUAAUCUUAGAAAAAAUCAACAAGAAAUAUAAUUUAAUGAGCUACAUACUCAUUUUGGGAGAAUAAACUUUGCUCAACCUGGAAGAAAAACACAGUCCCAUCCAUAUCUAACUGGGAACUUCAACUUGGAGGAUACACAAUAACAGCAAAACCAACAGUAUAUAUUCACAAUACAAGUUUAACUAAAUUUAAACAAAAAUGGCCCUCAUACAUGCAACACAUCAUGCAGCAUGGUAAAUAUAGCCAGUUACUGUCUAGCUUCUAAGGGGGCCUGAACAUCCACAAAUAUUGCAAAUUAGCAAAUGUAUAAAAAGUGAGAAAUUAAACCAAUAGUCAUUUUUAUUAUUUUUCAUUUUCCCUUUUUAAAAAAAAAAGUUUAAAGGACUUUCACUUUUGCUCUGUCACCUUGGGCCAGUCACUUGUCUCAGCCUUAGGAAGCAGGCAAGGGCAAACUAUUUCUGAAAAAACUUGGCAAGAAAACUGCAGGGAUUUAGCCUGCCAGUUGCCAGGAAACAACACUGGCUCAAAGGUACCCCUUCCCAAAAGCAACAAUACAAUUUUUGAUUCAUUCAUUCAUCGAUUGAUUCGUUUAUAUCCCACCUUUAUUAUUUUUAUAAAUAACUAAAGGCAAGGAACUUCUAUACUCCCUCUUCAGUGAGGUAAAUUGGGCUAACAGAAAAUGUCUGGCUCCAAAUAACCCAUCUGGCUUUCAUGCCUAAAGCGGGACUAGAACACACACUUCUAGUUUCUAGAGCAGGGGUGUUAAACUGCCGGCCCGCGGGCCAGAUGCAUCAUAGUGAAACCGCGCCCACCCCAUUGCCGGCAAUGGCAAAAAAGUCACGAUACGCCACAACACAUCAAGUGAUAUUGCGAGUUUGACACCCUUGUUCUAGAGUACUACAUUAAUUACUUAGUUAAAGAUCAAAAGUAUUAUCAUAAUCAAUACUUUCAGUUGAAACAGUUGUUUUCUUAAUGUUAUAUUUAACUUUGGAUGAAAAAGACAAAUAAUGGUAUGCUUGUAAUAGUGACCUAAAUUGUAAUAUUUUGUAAUGUUUCAUUUCCUUUCACUAUAUUUUAAGCUACCUAAAGUAAAAAAAAAAGUUAGUUUUUAAUUAGAAAUAUAAAGAAAAAAAAUUAAAAGUCAAGAUGGUGAUUGCACCUCUGUGAUCAAAUCCCAUCCCUAUGGUGUCAGCACAUAUACAAAGGGGGUUAAGGCUUUCUUUGUAUGGUUAUAACUACCUCCUUGACUUUUGAGUACCCUUCCCCCCAACACUGCUGAAUCCCACUUCUGGGAAAUGGUUCCCAAGAGCUGCAAAGAGAGGAGAGUAAGAUAAAUAUUAGCUAUACAAGCUGCCUGCCUUCUGCUUGCGUAUCUAUUGCCAUGCAAUUAGCUUACAAAUACAGUAAAUAGUAUUUUCCUUUUCCAUUUAUAAAUGUUUUACAUUAUAAAGCAUAAUCAGAGGGAUAUCUUAUUUUAAUCACGCUUAGCACCUUAUUUGCACAUGGCAGAAUAUCCAGUUAUUAGGUGUCCAUACGCAGAUCCAAAGGCAGGAAAAGUUUAAAAAGUUGCUCCCAGCAAGAAUUCACCAAUAUUUGAGAUACAUGCCUACUUUUCCCUCAGGAGUUGACAUGAUUAAUUAGCCUUCUUAUUUUCAAUCACAUUUACAAUCUAUAGCCCUUCUACUCCAAGACAGUUGAAUGACAGAAAGAAGCAGCAGUUUCACACUGGCUUGUUACUCUUUAGGACAAUGGAGUUUGCCUCACUAGGGCCAUUUUUUCUACUAUCUCACUGCUCCAGAGUCAUCCACAAGAUUUGUUCAAACAAGUCAAGAUGGUGGCCUUGAUAGUAUGUUUAAACCUGUUUUUUAUGUAUUGUAUGUGUGCAGGAAAACCUGUAAGCUAUGAAAAACUACUGUGUGUUACUAAAUUAUUUAUACGUGCAAAUAAUAUGUUUCUUCGUCUUUGGUGAAGCUGUGGAUAUUUUUACUCCAGAGUUGCCACCUAGGAAUACAGCAUAACUGCUCAGGAGCAUCUGCCUUUUAAAAUUAGUUUUGACAUCUAAGUAGCAAAUCAUUUAAACCUUUUUUCUCUAGGGUCCAGACUAGGCAGACAAUAGACUUUAUAUCUGCACAAAGAAAAUAAAUAGAGUAACUGAUUUAUUGUACUUUCCAGAUGCUCAUUAUGGAAUGAUACCAUUUAUCUUUUCCAAAAGAGUUCUUUAUGCUUACUUUUUCAAAAUACUAUAAUCAGUCUGGCAUUUUAAUGCCACCAUAGUUUGAUUACAAUGUACUAAUUGGAGUCAGCCUGAAAAUGUCUUGAAAACCAUACCUAGAUCAAAAUAAAAUUGCCUGGGAAGAAAUGAGAUUUAAAUGCUGGACAUAAUCUCAACAAUAUCACUUAAUUCAUGAGUCUUUGUGAUUGGCUCCACCUAGCAUAAUAGGAAUUUUAUGAACAGUAAGCAGUCCUGGCACUUGUUUUGGAAAUCAGUGAACUUGCUUUUAAAAUUGAAAUUGUUUUCCGUGCCAUGCAACUUAAGCCUUCAAUGGCAUUUACAUUAUACAAAUUUGAUUUUACUAGUGAUUAUGCUUUUACCAUAUAAAGAAUACUAUGCACUUUAUUUAGUAAGCCCCUAAAAUAUUCCAGCCAAUUUGGUAGUUUCUGCAUCCUAAAAAGGCGAUGGAUUGUUAAGACAUGUAGGCCCAUUUGCCUACAUGUCUCACAAUUCUUUUUAACACUGGCAAUUCCAGAGACGUUAUUCUAUAGAAAAAUGGUGGAAAAGAUUCAGAAAACUGCAAAACCAUCUCCCUCUCAAAAGGGUCCCAAAAUAUAUUUUGUUUUGAAACCCUAAAACCUCCUUCUGCCCAUCGAUCCAGUUCCAUAGAUAGUUAAUAAAUAUUCUUGAGUCAUGAAAUGAAAAAAAAAUAAUAAUUUCAAGUCAUAAUAUUUUAUGGAGCUCACUUGAAGAUUUUGGACAUUUUAACAAUUAUCAACAUGGUUAGUACAUUGUAAAAACAUUUAUUACUCCGUUAUUAGUUAUUUUACACUGUUGCAGUUCUUUGUCACAUUCUUUUUUUCUCAGAAAUACUUUGAAAUUAGUCUUUUAGAAAGAUGCUCAAUGGCAUCUCAACAGCUGCUACAAAUUGAAGCAAAUAAGCAACAAUCUAAAUACAAUAUUUAAUGUCUGCAAUUUUAUUAUAUACAUCAUUUGUUUCGGACUGUAUUCGGUGCAAAAGCAUACAGUUUAACUGAACUGGGGGAAAAACAGUUAUGCUUAACAGUUUUUACCUGAAUUGUCACACGUUAAAUAUAAUAAAUUUAACAAAAGCAGAUGGACAAACCCUAAAAGUAUCCUCAAUUAUAUCUAACACUUGAUUGUAUCGCUCUGACUCAACAAAAUAAAUAGAAAUCCAAACAUAGCUAUAAGAAGUUAUUUACUUAAGUCUCUUUAAGAUUAUUUUCUUUCCAGUGUUUUGGUCUCCUGCAUAUUAUAGAAAUGUACUUUAGUUGUAAAGGUAAUUAAAGUUACAUAAGUGAAAAAGCCAAAUAAGUAGUUAUAUGAGAGUAAAAAAUGGGAGCUUAUAAAAAUAAGUUUGUAUACAUUCUUAUAAGAUUCUACUUUAGAGAAAGAAAAAAAA